rnacentral:rRNA from 1 species
CCUACGGGUGGCAGCAGUGGGGAAUAUUGGUCAAUGGAGGAAACUCUGAACCAGCAACGCCGCGUGAAUGAUGAAGGUCUUCGGAUUGUAAAGUUCUUUUCUAAGGGAAGAAGAAAGUGACGGUACCUUAGGAAUAAGCCUCGGCUAACUACGUGCCAGCAGCCGCGGUAAUACGUAGGGGGCAAGCGUUAUCCGGAUUUACUGGGUGUAAAGGGAGCGUAGACGGCUGUGCAAGUCUGAAGUGAAAGCCCGUGGCUCAACCGCGGAACUGCUUUGGAAACUGUAUAGCUUGAGUACUGGAGAGGCAGGCGGAAUUCCUAGUGUAGCGGUGAAAUGCGUAGAUAUUAGGAGGAACACCAGUGGCGAAGGCGGCCUGCUGGACAGAAACUGACGUUGAGGCUCGAAAGCGUGGGGAGCAAACAGGAUUAGAUACCCUUGUGGUC